rnacentral:rRNA from 1 species
AACGCUAGCUACAGGCUUAACACAUGCAAGUCGAGGGGAAACGACAUCGAAAGCUUGCUUUUGAUGGGCGUCGACCGGCGCACGGGUGAGUAACGCGUAUCCAACCUGCCCACCACUUGGGGAUAACCUUGCGAAAGUAAGACUAAUACCCAAUGAUAUCUCUAGAAGACAUCUGAAAGGGAUUAAAGAUUUAUCGGUGAUGGAUGGGGAUGCGUCUGAUUAGCUUGUUGGCGGGGUAACGGCCCACCAAGGCUACGAUCAGUAGGGGUUCUGAGAGGAAGGUCCCCCACAUUGGAACUGAGACACGGUCCAAACUCCUACGGGAGGCAGCAGUGAGGAAUAUUGGUCAAUGGGCGAGAGCCUGAACCAGCCAAGUAGCGUGCAGGAUGACGGCCCUAUGGGUUGUAAACUGCUUUUAUAAGGGAAUAAAGUGAGUCUCGUGAGACUUUUUGCAUGUACCUUAUGAAUAAGGACCGGCUAAUUCCGUGCCAGCAGCCGCGGUAAUACGGAAGGUCCGGGCGUUAUCCGGAUUUAUUGGGUUUAAAGGGAGCGUAGGCCGGAGAUUAAGCGUGUUGUGAAAUGUAGAUGCUCAACAUCUGCACUGCAGCGCGAACUGGUUUCCUUGAGUACGCACAAAGUGGGCGGAAUUCGUGGUGUAGCGGUGAAAUGCUUAGAUAUCACGAAGAACUCCGAUUG